AGAGUUGAUCCUGGCUUAGGACGAACGCUGGCGGCACGCUUAACACAUGCAAGUCGAACGGAGUUAUCGAGAGCUUGCUUUGAUAACUUAGUGGCGGACGGGUGAGUAACACGUGAGCAAUCUGCCCUUAAGAGGGGGAUAGCAGUUGGAAACGACUGAUAAUACCGCAUAAGAUAGUAGUACCGCAUGGUACAGCUAUAAAAGAUUUAUCGCUUAAGGAUGAGCUCGCGUCUGAUUAGCUAGUUGGUGAGGUAACGGCUCACCAAGGCAACGAUCAGUAGCCGGACUGAGAGGUUGGACGGCCACAUUGGGACUGAGACACGGCCCAGACUCCUACGGGAGGCAGCAGUGGGGAAUAUUGCACAAUGGAGGAAACUCUGAUGCAGCGAUGCCGCGUGAGGGAAGAAGGUUUUAGGAUUGUAAACCUCUGUUGACAGGGACGAUAAUGACGGUACCUGUUGAGGAAGCUCCGGCUAACUACGUGCCAGCAGCUGC
rnacentral:rRNA from 1 species